GAGGUCACACGCCUCCCUCGCCGCCCUGCAGACGCCCGAGCUGCGCGCCGCGGGGCUGCCACGCCGGGCCUCACCCUCAGGUUCCCCUUGGUCCGCUGCUUGUUCUUCCCGCCCAUGGUCGCGGUGGCGGCCGCGCUCUCAGCCUGCGGAGCCGAGGUUGACACCGCCGGGCCACAACUUCCGGUCCCUCGCGCCGGAAGGGGGCUCAUUGUAGCAACUUGCCCCCGCCCACCCGGCUCUCUGGCUUCCCCCCUUCCGUUCCCGCCCCUCUGCAAGGACUCUUGACCAGCCGCCGUCUGAUACGUCACAGAGAAAGCCACGCCUGCCUGAGUGGCGUCACUGAUGACCAAUAAGAAACCGGGAUUGGGCCCGCAGCGCCAAAGCCUGUCCCAGGUACUUGAAGUGAAGCGAUUCCCUUCCUAGUGUGUGGGAAUUUGACUUCGGCUACGUUCUUGCACAAGAUAGCAAUAGAAUGAAUGGAACUAAAAUGAAAAUCCAGGCAAGAAUGGGAAGAAACACUCAAAGGAAGAACAUCCAGCCACCCCUCUGCUCAGUCACUGUCCUUCCACCCCAAAGAACAUCUGGAAAACAUCCCCACAUCCCCUGGCAUUUAAGAACUGAUACAGUUGACCAAAGUCCAUGUGGUUUCCUCUGGCUCCAUGGACACUGAAGACCUUUUCUUCAAAAAUGGAAAAUAUCCGUUGUUUUUCCAUUUCAUCCUCUGUACUAUCAAAAGGAAUGUCUUCUCGAUGGCGAAUUAAAAUUCUCUUCCAGUUUAA